UCCGAUUUGAUCAGGUAAAGACUGAUAACUGUUUUGCAAUGAGUUAUUAGUUAGCUUGUCCUUUUAGAUUUGUGUCUCAGGAUAAGGUGAACAAGUUUGGUGUUCUCU